GUGAACCUCCGCCCUCCACCCGCCACUGACGCUCCCUUCGACGAAACCGUCGCCGUUCGUCCCACCAUCGUCCCCUCCCCCCGCCCCCUGCUCGGGUUCCGGCGGCGGGGGUGGGAGGUGCGCGCAUCCCACGGGCGGAACCUCUAUAAUGGGCGCCCGGCCCGCCGCGAAGGAUGCGUCCAUCGGCGAUCCCACCCGGAACUCGUACCCGCGCCUGUUACGCCGCAGCCACCGGCGCAGGUCCUUACCCCCGCCCCCCGGCGCUCCCACGCAGUGGUCCUCGUACCUGUCGUUGCUGCAUAUCAUCCCGUUCACCUCCCUGGCGUACGCGAUGAUCGAUUUAUCGUCCGAGUCUCUCGCCCCCGCCGGUCGGUCCACCGUCCGCAAC
rnacentral:lncRNA from 1 species